AUUGAACGCUGGCGGACGGCCUAACACAUGCAAGUAGAGCAGAGCGGCGGACGGGUGAGAAAUGCCUAGGAAUCUGCCUGGAAGUGGGGGAUAACGUCCGGAAACGGGCGCUAAUACAGCAUACUGUCAGAUGAGCAUCGGUAGGAUUGGCUAGUUGGUGGUGUAAAGGCCUACCAAGGCGAAGAUCCGUAACUGGUCUGAGAGGAUGAGCAGUCACACUGGACUGGCUACACGGUCCAGACUCCUACGUGAGGCAGCAGUGGGGAAUAUUGGACAAUGGGCGAAAGCCUGAUCCAGCCAUGCCGCGUGUGUGAAGAAGGUCUUCGGAUUGUAAAGCACUUUAAGUUGGGAGGCGUUACCAACAGAAUAAGCACCGGCUAACUUCGUGCCAGCAGCCGCGGUAAUAC
rnacentral:rRNA from 1 species